rnacentral:lncRNA from 1 species
GGGCCCCGCCCCCGGCUGCGGUGCGGCGCUGAGGGGGCAGGGGGAGCCCCAGCCCCGCCGGGCCGCGCAUGGGGGGGGCGCGGCUCCCAUCCCGGGGGCGGGCCCGGCCCCUGAUCGCCCUCAGCAGCCCCUCCCGCACGCGUGUCCUGCACGAUAAGGCGCGUGUCGCCUAAAAGUACUUUAAAGAUACUGUGCAAGCAAGGGUGAUGUGGGUAACGGGUAAACAGCCUGACGUUGUCCUGGUUUUCUUCAGAUAAAGUUCACCUGAGGUGUCGCGACAUGCCUCAGAGGCGUGAGCUGAAGGCAACAGAGGGCCCCGUACGUCCUUAUGGACUCCUUUAUAGGAGUGCCCCAGGGUUCCCACGGGUAAAGAAAUAAUCAAGCUCUAAACCCUCUAAUUGGCAGUUUUUGACUUCCUUUUCAUAAAGUCUCAGGAUUUCUCAGGCUAUUUCCUGGUGACCCAUCAUGAUCCUCAACGAAUUCAAGCAGCCCGUUUCCUUUCUCAAAACCCCGUGAUGUGGAGGUUUGCAUGACACAAAAGGGUCUUGUGAACGCUCCAGCCAAGCGAUUUGUUUCACCCACAUGGGACGUGUUCAUGGAUUCAUUCUGUUUUUCUCUUCGAAAAUGCUCAAGAAUAUUUGGUGUCAAUUUUUCCAAGAAGUGGAAAUCUUUCCUUAAAAAAAUAUCCAUAAAGAGCUUAUGAAGUGGAGUCUUUCAGGCGUGAUUUGGUUCACUGGCUGGUUUUUAACCUAACAGUCACCUGACUCACAUUCAUGUACUCUACUGGUGUGUAACCCAUGCAGCUGGCUUACUGAUACAUGACCUACACACGCUCGGUUCAUUGAGUACAGACCCUUUCCUCUCAGCUAAAAAUAUCCUCAAUUCAUAAAAAAAAAAAAAAAAAAAAAAGUCUCGAUCUAUUCAGAUGUUAUUAAAGGAGAAAUAAAAUGUGCAGUCCAGAAUAUUUCCUGUACAUUUUUCUAUUUUUCAGCAGAUUAAAAGCAAAACCAAUGACUUUUUGGUCCAAUAUUUGUCAGCUGUAAAGCUAGCGGCAUGUUACCAUAAAUACGCGUGUUAAAACACCUCCGGACAUCUGCUUGAAAUCUGGAGAACCUCUUUUGGGGAAAGCUUUACUGGAACUACUACUAUUACCCUGCCAGCAAUUUAAGAGCAGUCUUCUGUUAGAAAUGUAGGAUGUAGGAGUGAGAAUCCUGUCAGAGCACUUAACAAAACAGAAUCAGAGCUGAACUCCCACCCUGACUGUACAGCAGCCCUGUGGUCUGUAGGACUUUCCGUCCUUGGCUGGUUAAAAUCUGAAUGUUAAGAAAGAACCCACUUUAUCUGCAAGUUUUUAAGUUUCACACGUAGGGUUUUUUUGUUCUCAUUUGGUCAACACUUUCAGAGUUUGCUAGCAUCUUAGUUCUCAUUUGUGUUGUGCGGCUUUGGCAGGCUGGUAGAAAUGCAUUAAAGAGUCAAAGUUUUGUUAUGAGACUUGUGGGUGAAGGCUACUUUUGCUUUCUAGACCUGUCAGAGCAAGGAGCAAAAUGUUUCAUAAACACAUAACGUGUUCACCUCCAUACAUGUUUUUGAAAAGAUUACACGUAUCUUUGUUUAUAUAGCAAUACAAUCUGUGUUUGUGUGAUCAACAAACCAUUAUUUCUUUCAUUUCUUCUCUUCCAUGGCAGCAAUGGUAGCAAGGGUCAGGCUGGAUUCCUGCUGUAGGAGACCUAGCCACUGCUUCAGACUCCCUGCAGCUGUACCUUGGCAUUCUCUCAGCUCACUUCAGCCUACGUGCCCAGCAACAGCAUCCCCCCCUCCUUUACACAAGCUUCCCAGGUGAUCCAAGAAGGCUUGUGAAACUUCUUUUCAACACCAUCAGAGAAAAAAUCGCACUCGGUGGUAAAAAUCUGAGUGUCUUUAGUAUGUUUAACCAAGAUGCAGGUUCAUGUAGGGAUCUUCCCACCUGUUAUUUUUCAAAGCGAAGAACAUCUUGUUGAUGUUUAAUGAGUGAAGAAUCCACAGACAGUUAUUUGGCAACGACAUCAUUGUCCUUUUCAGGAGAGACAGCUGACACAAGGUACAUCCACACAGCUCAGCAGUGGCACACAGCCUGAAAAACACCUUUGGACUUGGAAGGCAGGUCAGCGAUGCUAUUAAGCAAUACUAGAUGGCUUUUAGGGCUGGUGGCUAGUGCUCAGAGCACAAGCACGACCCAUGUCUAAGCCUAAAUUAGACUGAAGGGAAAGGAAGAUUUUGGGCUGGUUUCUCCCUGCUGGAUAACCAGCACAAUGGGCUGCGCUGAGUCAAGGAGGCCACCUCUGAACCAGCCCGAAUUUUAAC